UAUGUGAUCGUCUCUCGCAUAUCAAUAAGCGGAGGAAAAGAAACUAACAAGGACUUCCCCUAGUAACGGCGAGUGAAGCGGGAAGAGCUCAAAUUUGAAAUCUUAAAGGGUUUCCCUUUACGAAUUGUAGUUUAAAGAAGUGUUUUCUGUUGAGGUUUUGGUAAAAGUUCUUUGGAAUAGGACAUCAUAGAGGGUGAGAAUCCCGUAUUUGACCCUUACUUUCAACUUUGUGAUACACUUCCAAAGAGUCGGAUUGUUUGGGAAUGCAGUCCAAAAUGGGUGGUAAAUUUCAUCUAAAGCUAAAUAUUGGCGAGAGACCGAUAGCGAACAAGUACCGUGAGGGAAAGAUGAAAAGAACUUUGAAAAGAGAGUUAAACAGUACGUGAAAUUGUCAAAAGGGAAGCGUUUGACACCAGUGUUGUUUUUCUGAAAAUCAAUUAAAGAACUGUUUAUGCUAAGUUGUUUAGACUUUAUCAGCUAACUGUUUAGUUUUGAGCUUUUCUUUAAUGCACUUUUCAGUUAACAAGUCAACAUCAAUUUCUUUUGCUGUAAAAAAGCUUGAGGAAGGUGGCUUGAGAUUCGUCUUAAGUGUUUAUAGCCUCUUGCCUAUGCAGUCGGAGAGAUUGAGGUCUGCAGCGUAGAUCCUUCGGGGCUAAAUGCAUUUGUGCUAAGUUAUAGCAUUUUAUAGACAACUUGUUGACUAUGAUUUGUCUUGUAGCUUACUCGCUUAUGUUAUUUUACCUACGCUUAGGAUGUUGAUAUGCAUGACUGAUA
rnacentral:rRNA from 1 species